CACAGAGUUUUGGGGUGGAGGAGGUAAUGGCAAAAUCUCUUCAAGAUUCCAACUUGGAGAGUUAAUACUAAUUAACAGGAUGCUAGACAUUGUUCGAAUGCAUUAUACAUACAAGCUCAUCUGCACAAUAAACUGAAUAAAUGUCUCUGCUAGACUUCAGUUGCCUCCACCCCUAAAAUUCGUAUGUUGGGACUUCAGUGUAUUGUAAAGUUGUACAUGCAAAGAAGAACUAAAUAUAUGGAAUAGUAUACACCCCACCUACACCAGCCACCUGAAAGAGAGAGUGAUAAGUUUUUAUCUUUAGGACAGCACCUCUCAGUAUUGCUAGAAGUAUUUUAGAAGUC